GGGACUUCUUUUCGGACGAUCUGUGAGAGCAAAGCAGACAAGAUGUAGGCAGGGGACUGAUAGUUCUGGUGGCGGAAUCCACCACUGGAAGAUUUCGAACAUAGAAUAGUUGAUGAAUUUAGGAUGAUAGAGUCCGUGCCCAGCGAUUGUGUGAUCUGUUGAUUCUAAACUAAGAUUGUCGGGUGUAUUCCAUUCUGCAACGAUUCAACUGAGCGCCAGUGAAAGAAUUCUACUUCCUGAUGUAAAGAUGAUUGUCGCUUGCAAAACACGGAAAGUCUGAAUUCAUGGUGAAACUCUAGAGGUGAUGAAGAACAACAUAUAAGGAGUGUCCGGCCACACUUUCUGAUUUUAAACGUGCUUUAACAUCUACACUUCGUUCUGCAUGAGGAUCAUAACGAUCAUUUCUCGGCUUCCCUGGAGCAUUAUCAACACCGUUAGGGCUCCACCCACUCUAUGGAAGAAGAGACUGGGGUAAAAUGGAAGGUCCACACAGGAGCGACAGAAGCAUAGACACAAAGCCUUCUCAACACAUCCUUUCCUCUUUACCCCAACAAACCCACUCAGUUUUGCCUUUGUUCACUUCUUCCAGAUGUUUUUGCAUCUGUAGUAAUCUAUUCCCUGUUGCUAUGGGAAUAAUAUACCUGACAGAGGCGUCUUGAGGCAGAAAAAGGUUUAUUUUGGUUCAUGGUUCCAUGGAGCAGAGUCCAUCAUACCAAUGAAGGCAUACAUACAGCAGAAGCAUAAUAGCAAGGCAUACAGCAGAUGCAUAAUAGCAGCUUGUCAGAUUGCAUCAGCCAUAAGGAAGAAGCCUCAGUGAUAAACGUCCUCCACUAAAGAACCCUUCUGAAAGUUUCUAUAAUUUUCCCAAACUACCAACUGGAACCAAGUGUUCAAACCCAUAUGCCUCAGGAAGACAUCUCACAUUCAAAGCACAAUGAUGUUGAACAACCCAGUAUGUCUCCUUAUGUCACUAAAGCUGCCUUGAUGACGUCAGCUUGCUUCCUGUUCAGCGAACAAAAUGAAUAUUAUCUACUCUAGUCACGGCUCCAGCCUGGUGUUCUGCCUCUAAACUUCCUCAAGUUGUUCAAGUUUGGGUAUAUCUCUAAUUCAGCGUCCGUGAGAGUGCCAUGAAAUGCACACCACUAGGUGAUGUCAUACCUCAUUAUGCCUUUGCAUCCUAAACCACUGUCAGGAUAGCCAGUGCUGUUCUGUGUGCACGGAAGCCAUCUUAACACAGAAAGGAAACUGUAAAAGGUCUUCCCCUUACAUGUCCUCUUUUGCUUGCUAUCAUGGAAGUGAUAUUUUCUGAUCAUAACUCUCAAGGUCCACCUUAUCCUCAAACCUCUGCAUUGUUUGAGGAGUCACCAUAGAGUUUCUGGUUUUUACUUUAAACCUCACAUUCUCUUUAUGUAAUAUGCUGGAUAAUUUCACAGGCAUCAGGAAUUGAAUCCCCUUCUACCAAGUCUCAUGGGUGGCUGCCCUUCACUGGGCAAGCAUAGGUAUUCAUUAAAUAUUCAUCGAAAGAUUUUUUUUAUUAACUUGUUGUGGCUUUCCCCACACUUUGGAUCCAACUCAAAUACCAGUUAAUACAUAAUCCUUUUUUUAGAAAAGAAAAAAAG
rnacentral:lncRNA from 1 species